rnacentral:rRNA from 1 species
AGUGAACGCUGGCGGCGUGCCUAAUACAUGCAAGUCGAACGGAGAUUAAGUAGCUUGCUAUUUAAUCUUAGUGGCGCACGGGUGAGUAAUAUAUAGCUAACUUGCCCAUUACUAAGGGACAACAGUUGGAAACGACUGCUAAUACCUUAUACAACGUAUCUAUAUAUGUAGAUACGGGAAAGUUUUUCGGGAAUGGUUAGGGCUAUAUCGUAUCAGCUAGUUGGUAAGGUAAUGGCUUACCAAGGCUAUGACGCGUAACUGGUCUGAGAGGAUGAUCAGUCACACUGGAACUGAGACACGGUCCAGACUCCUACGGGAGGCAGCAGUAGGGAAUAUUGCUCAAUGGGGGAAACCCUGAAGCAGCAACGCCGCGUGGAGGAUGACACUUUUCGGAGCGUAAACUCCUUUUCCUGGGAAAGAAUUAUGACGGUACCCAAGGAAUAAGCACCGGCUAACUCCGUG